AGCGGCGGAUGGGUGAGUAACACGUGGGGAACCUGCCCCUAAGUCUGGGAUACCAUUUGGAAACAGGUGCUAAUACCGGAUAAUAAAGCAGAUCGCAUGAUCAGCUUUUGAAAGGCGGCGUAAGCUGUCGCUAAGGGAUGGCCCCGCGGUGCAUUAGCUAGUUGGUAAGGUAACGGCUUACCAAGGCGACGAUGCAUAGCCGAGUUGAGAGACUGAUCGGCCACAUUGGGACUGAGACACGGCCCAAACUCCUACGGGAGGCAGCAGUAGGGAAUCUUCCACAAUGGACGCAAGUCUGAUGGAGCAACGCCGCGUGAGUGAAGAAGGUUUUCGGAUCGUAAAGCUCUGUUGUUGGUGAAGAAGGAUAGAGGUAGUAACUGGCCUUUAUUUGACGGUAAUCAACCAGAAAGUCACGGCUAACUACGUGCCAGCAGCCGCGGUAAUACGUAGGUGGCAAGCGUUGUCCGGAUUUAUUGGGCGUAAAGCGAGCGCAGGCGGAAAAAUAAGUCUAAUGUGAAAGCCCUCGGCUUAACCGAGGAACUGCAUCGGAAACUGUUUUUCUUGAGUGCAGAAGAGGAGAGUGGAACUCCAUGUGUAGCGGUGGAACGCGUAGAUAUAUGGAAGAACACCAGUGGCGAAGGCGGCUCUCUGGUCUGCAACUGACGCUGAGGCUCGAAAGCAUGGGUAGCGAACAGGAUUAGAUACCCUGGUAGUCCAUGCCGUAAACGAUGAGUGCUAAGUGU
rnacentral:rRNA from 1 species